UACGUAGGGUGCGAGCGUUAAUCGGAAUUACUGGGCGUAAAGCGUGCGCAGGCGGUCUCGUAAGACAGGUGUGAAAUCCCCGGGCUCAACCUGGGAACUGCGCUUGUGACUGCGAGGCUAGAGUGCGGAAGAGGGAGGUGGAAUUCCCCGUGUAGCAGUGAAAUGCGUAGAGAUGUGGAGGAACACCGAUGGCGAAGGCAGCCUCCUGGGCCAGCACUGACGCUCAUGCAAGAAAGCGUGGGGAGCAAACGGG
rnacentral:rRNA from 1 species